UACGGAGGGUGCAAGCGUUAUCCGGAAUUACUGGGUUUAAAGGGUGCGUAGGCGGCUUGAUAAGUCAGGGGUGAAGGCCUAUCGCUUAACGAUAGAAUUGCCUUUGAUACUGUAAAGCUUGAAAGGGGUUGAGGUCAGCAGAAUGUGGCAUGUAGCGGUGAAAUGCAUAGAGAUGCCAUAGAACACCGAUUGCGAAGGCAGCUGGCUGGGCCUACUUUGACGAUGAGGCACGAAAGCGUGGGGAGCGAACAGG
rnacentral:rRNA from 1 species